rnacentral:rRNA from 1 species
CUCUGGGGCUUCAAUCUAGUGCUUCAGCUGAUGGUGCCUGAUCCCAGAAAGCUAAGCAGAGUCUAACUUGAUAAGUACUUGGAUGGGGGACCACCAAGAAAUCCUAGGGCUGUAGGGU